AGUAACGCGUGGAGAACCUGCCGUAUACUGGGGGAUAACACUUAGAAAUAGGUGCUAAUACCGCAUAAGCGCACAGCUUCGCAUGAAGCAGUGUGAAAAACUCCGGUGGUAUACGAUGGAUCCGCGUCUGAUUAGCUUGUUGGCGGGGUAAAGGCCCACCAAGGCGACGAUCAGUAGCCGGCCUGAGAGGGUGGACGGCCACAUUGGGACUGAGAGACGGCCCAGACUCCUACGGGAGGCAGCAG
rnacentral:rRNA from 1 species